GCCCGGUUAGCUCAAUCGGUAGAGCGUGAGACUCUUAAUCUCAAGGUUGCGGGUAAGUCCUCCUCGGCA